rnacentral:rRNA from 1 species
GACGAACGCUGGCGGCGUGCCUAAUACAUGCAAGUUGAGCGAUGAAGAUUGGUGCUUGCACCAAUUUGAAGAGCAGCGAACGGGUGAGUAACGCGUGGGGAAUCUGCCUUUGAGCGGGGGACAACAUUUGGAAACGAAUGCUAAUACCGCAUAACAACUUUAAACAUAAGUUUUAAGUUUGAAAGAUGCAAUUGCAUCACUCAAAGAUGAUCCCGCGUUGUGUUAGCUAGUUGGUGAGGUAAAGGCUCACCAAGGCGAUGAUACAUAGCCGACCUGAGAGGGUGAUCGGCCACAUUGGGACUGAGACACGGCCCAAACUGCUACAGGAGGCAGCAGUAGGGAAUCUUGGGCAAGGGACGAGAGGCUGACCGAGCAACGCCGCGUGAGUGAAGAAGGUUUUCGGGUCGUAAAACUCUGUUGGUAGAGAAGAACGUUGGUGAGAGUGGAAAGCUCAUCAAGUGACGGUAACUACCCAGAAAGGGACGGCUAACUACGUG